GGGUUUUGACUAAACGAAAACUAACUGUACUCCCGUCUCCUGCCUGGUCAUUUCUCCACAACACAAAUAUUACAGUGGCGACGAGGUGAUUAAACUACAUAAACGGACAUUGCUUGAAGGGAAGAAUGUUGCGUCUCAUGGCCUCUGUGCCCACCAUCCAGGAAGAGGCAGUGCCGCCCCCAACAGACGACUUUUAGAUAAGCAGCAGCACCUGUGUCACCCACACACACGUGGUCUGCCCAGUCCAACACUCUGAAGAGAGGCAGGCCCUCCGAACCAUAGAGCACCCAGAAGUGCACCCACCCGAAACACCAGCACACCAUCACUGCCCAAGGAGACAAGAGGCAACAACAGGAACAGCACAGGAGCAGUGGGAGGAACAGUCAGAGCAGCAGGCUGUUGAACAGCCAAUGGAUCUGCAGUGGCACACGAUAACAAGACACUGGGUUGUUCUUUAUUCUGAAAUGUGAGACAUUUUACUGGAACCUCUUCAGAAGUUAUCACAUUUCUGUCAAAUAAAAUCUUUCAAUACUCUUUCUGUAGGCCAGGGAUCAUCAACGAGAUUCAGCCAUGUGCCAAUUUUUGUCUUGAGUGGAUGGUUGGGGGGCCGGAACAUAAUUACAAAUCAUUUGUAGGCUGCAAAUUGACCGCAAAAAGCCCAAACAAAUACAGUGGCUUGCAAAAGU